rnacentral:tRNA from 1 species
AAGGCGCUAGUAAAAUAGACCAUUACGCUACCUUGUCGAGGCAGAAUUGUGGGUUUAAGUCCCGCGCGCCUUG